rnacentral:tRNA from 1 species
GGGGGUGUAGCUCAGAGGGAGAGCACCUGCCUUGCAAGCAGGGGGUCAGGAGUUCGAAUCUCCUCAUCUCCACCA